rnacentral:lncRNA from 1 species
CCCCAUUUUACUUACAGUUUAGUUGGUUUCAGUUUUAUCUCGUUUUAGUUUAUUUUGCUUUCCGUUUAUUUCUCUUUCAGUUUUAUCUCAUUUCAGUUUUAUCUCAUUUCAGUUUAUCUCGUUUUCAGUUUUAUCUCGUUUCAGUUUUAUCUUAUUUCAGUUUUAUCUCAUUUCAGUUUAUCUCGUUUUCAGUUUUCUUCUUUUGCAGUUUAUUUUUAUUUCAGUUUAUUUUAUUGGUCUUG